rnacentral:rRNA from 1 species
CAAUAUGACGGCUAGUGGCGAAAGGGAGAGUAAUAGAUGGGAACGUACCCUGGACACGAGGACAACAGCUCGAAAGGGCUGCUAAUACUCGAUAAUGUCGCAAGAUCAAAGGGCGGGGACCGCAAGGCCUGCCGGUCUUGGAUCGGCCCAUCUCCUAUCAGGUAGUUGGUGAGGUAACGGCUCACCAAGCCGACGACGGGUAGCGGGUGUGAGAGCAUGGCCCGCCUCAUCGGAACUGAGACACUGUCCGGACACCUACGGGUGGCUGCAGUAACGAAUCUUGGGCAAUGGGCGAAAGCCUGACCCAGCAAUGCCGCGUGCAGGAGGAAGUCCUUCGGGAUGUAAACUGCUGUCAGGGUCUAGCAAGCGAUGCGGGUAAAUAAUCCGCAAAGUUGAGCAGAUCCAGAGGAAGCCACGGCUAACUCUGUGCCAGCAGCCGCGGUAAGACAGAGGUGGCAAGCGUUGUUC